ACGGGCAUAGUUCAGUGGUAGAAUAGCGGUCUCCAAAACCGUUGACCUAGGUUCGAAUCCUGGUGCCCGUG
rnacentral:tRNA from 1 species